AUGAUUGGAAACUACAAGGUUAGGAAGUCCCUGUCUGUUGAUAUCUUUCGAAUUGUUAAAAGUUGGUUGGGAGGAAGACGGAGAUAUCGUGGGUGGUUGAGCGGCAAGAUGGAAAGGAUGCAGAAGACCCUGUGUGUUCAAGUUGGGCCUGUUGGAUGCUCUGCUUUGCCAUUUGCUGCUGGUGGCGUUGAAACAUAUCAGAACUUGGCUGGAGGGAAUUAUGAAGAGGGUUUUGUUAUGGUUCAUGAGCCAUGUGAUGUUUGGGGAAUAUACUGUUUGGUAAGGAGGCAAUGUGGCUGA